UACGAGGGGGGGCAAGCGUUGUUCGGAUUUACUGGGCGUAAAGGGCGCGUAGGCGGCAAUUCAAGUCAUCUGUGAAAUCUCCGGGCUUAACUCGGAACGGUCAGAUGAUACUGCUUUGCUAGAGUGCAGAAGGGGCAAUCGGAAUUCUCGGUGUAGCGGUGAAAUGCGUAGAUAUCGAGAGGAACACCAGAGGUGAAGACGGGUUGCUGGGCUGACACUGACGCUGAGGCGCGAAAGCCAGGGGAGCAAACGGG
rnacentral:rRNA from 1 species